rnacentral:rRNA from 1 species
UACGUAGGGGGCAAGCGUUGUCCGGAUUCAUUGGGCGUAAAGAGCGUGUAGGCGGCCAGGUAGGUCGGUUGUGAAAACUGGAGGCUCAACCUUCAGACGUCGACCGAAACCAUCUGGCUAGAGUCCGGGAGAGGAGAGUGGAAUUCCUGGUGUAGCGGUGAAAUGCGCAGAUAUCAGGAAGAACACCCGUGGCGAAAGCGGCUCUCUGGAACGGUACUGACGCUGAGACGCGAAAGCGUGGGGAG